rnacentral:rRNA from 1 species
AGGAUGAUCAGCCACACUGGGACUGAGACACGGCCCAGACUCCUACGGGAGGCAGCAGUGGGGAAUAUUGGACAAUGGGCGCAAGCCUGAUCCAGCCAUGCCGCGUGAGUGAUGAAGGCCUUAGGGUUGUAAAGCUCUUUCGGCGGGGACGAUAAUGACGGUACCCGCAGAAGAAGCCCCGGCUAACUUCGUGCCAGCAGCCGCGGUAAUACGAAGGGGGCUAGCGUUGUUCGGAAUUACUGGGCGUAAAGCGCGCGUAGCCGGCUUGAUAAGUCGGGGGUGAAAGCCUGUGGCUCAACCACAGAAUUGCCUUCGAUACUGUCUGGCUUGAGACCGGAAGAGGUAAGUGGAAUUCCGAGUGUAGAGGUGAAAUUCGUAGAUAUUCGCAAGAACACCAGUGGCGAAGGCGGCUUACUGGUCCGGUUCUCACGCUGAGGCGCGAAAGCGUGGGCAGCAAACAGGAUU